GUGAUUCAGGUAAUUGUAUGGGCGCAGCCUGAUCCAGCCAUGCCGCGUGAGUGAUGAAGGCCCUAGGGUUGUAAAGCUCUUUCACCGGUGAAGAUAAUGACGGUAACCGGAGAAGAAGCCCCGGCUAACUUCGUGCCAGCAGCCGCGGUAAACCG
rnacentral:rRNA from 1 species